rnacentral:rRNA from 1 species
UACAGAGGUCCCAAGCGUUGUUCGGAUUCACUGGGCGUAAAGGGUGCGUAGGUGGUCAGGUAAGUCUGAUGUGAAAGCUCUGGGCUCAACCCAGAAAUGGCAUUGGAUACUAUCUGGCUAGAGGAAUGGAGGGGGGACUGGAAUACUUGGUGUAGCAAUGAAAUGCGUAGAUAUCAAGUGGAACACCAGUGGCGAAGGCGAGUCCCUGGACAUUUCCUGACACUGAGGCACGAAAGCUAGGGGAGCAAACAGG